UCUCUUUUUAUCUUGGUGACAGGUCUCUCCCUCCUCUCUCUUUUUAUCUUGGUGACAGGUCUCUCCCUCCUCUCUCUUUUUAUCUUGGUGACAGGUCUCUCCCUCCUCUCUCUUUUCUCUCGGUGACAGGUCUCUCCCUCCUCUCUCUUUUUCUCUAGGUGCCAGGUCUCUCUCUCCUCUCUUGCACUAUAUAGAGAAUAGGGCUCUGGUCUAAAGUAGUGCACUAUAUAGAGAAUAGGGCUCUGGUCUAAAGUAGUGCACUAUAUAGAGAAUAGGGCUCUGGUCUAAAGUAGUGCACUAUAUAGAGAAUAGGGCUCUGGUCUAAAGUAGUGCACUAUAUAGAGAAUAGGGCUCUGGUCUAAAGUAGUGCCACUAUAUAGAGAAUAGGGCUCUGGUCUAAAGUAGUGCACUAUAUAGAGAAUAGGGCUCUGGUCUAAAGUAGUGCACUAUAUAGAGAAUAGGGCUCUG
ensembl:lncRNA